CUGAGGCACUCCUAUCCUCUGGCUUCACCAUGCUGGUGGGAUUUUCAUCAGAGCCAUUAAUGUUGGCAUCAGCAGCUUCAAGCACUUCAGAAAGUCCAGCUGCCAAGAGUUCUGUUUCUGUAACCCUGCUGGGUUAUUUUAGUCACAGCGGUGUUUAAGGAAGUUCAUCAGUGUGAUCAGCCACGACUAAAAGAUGAACCACGAGGCUCCAGAGCAGAGAGAUGGAAACCUGCUGAGCAUCAGGAGACUCUUCAGAUACUUCAGGUACUUAUGAAGGAGGUGAUGCACGACGGUUACUACAG
ensembl:lncRNA